rnacentral:rRNA from 1 species
CCUACGGGAGGCAGCAGUGGGGAAUAUUGGGCAAUGGGCGCAAGCCUGACCCAGCAACGCCGCGUGAAGGAAGAAGGCUUUUGGGUUGUAAACUUCUUGUCAUAGGGACGAAGCAAGUGACGGUACUUGAGGAAUAAGCCACGGCUAACUACGUGCAAGCAGCCGCGGUAAUACGUCGGUGGCAAGCGUUAUCCGGAUUUACGGGGUGUAAAGGGGGUGUAGGCGGGACUGCAAGUCAGCUGUGAAAACCACGGGCUCAACCUGUGGCCUGCAUUUGAAACUGUAGUUCUUGAGUACUGGAGAGGCAGACGGAAUGCCUAGUGUAGCGGUGAAAUGCGUAGAUAUUAGGAGGAACACCAGUGGCGAAGGCGGUCUGCUGGACAGCAACUGACGCUGAGGCGCGAAAGCGUGGGGAGCAAACCGGAUUAGAUACCCGUGUAGUC